UUCUGGGUUCAAACCCAUGGUAACUUCAUGACUGAAGGAGGUCUCCUCCUUCAGGUGAUGCUGAUGGCUAUUGUGGUGGUGUGAGCAGUGAUGAUUGUGAUCAGAAUGACAAAGACAGCAACAACAUUCACGAAGGAAAUUCAACUGCAUAUCUUACUGAUAUUUUCCACUUUGAGAAGUGCUCCUGGCAGCCUUACAAUGGAGACUAGAUCCUCUGCCUUUCGGCCUUGAGAGUCUUUCAUUGAUUUUUUGAUUCCUUUC